rnacentral:lncRNA from 1 species
CAGGAACCAGGUGACUUGCCUGUCAGUGUCCACUGACGGCAGCGUGCUGCUCUCAGGCUCCCACGACGAGACCGUGCGCCUCUGGGACGUGCAGAGCAAGCAGUGCAUCCGGACGGUGGCCCUCAAAGCAUGCUGAGCUCAGACUUCAGGCCCAGCCUGCCGCUGCCCCACUUCAACAAGCACCUGCUGGGCGCCGAGCACGGGGACGAGCCGCGCCACGGGGGCCUCACUCUGCGCCUGGGCCUCCACCAGCAGGGCUCGGAGCCCAGCUACCUGGACCGCACGGAGCAGCUGCAGGCCGUCCUGUGCAGCACCAUGGAGAAGAGCGUGCUCGGCGGCCAGGACCAGCUGCGCGUCCGUGUGACGGAGCUGGAGGACGAGGUGCGCAACCUGCGCAAGAUCAAUCGGGACCUGUUCGACUUCUCCACGCGCUUCAUCACGCGGCCGGCCAAGUGAGGCCCGGAGACCCCGGCCCGAGGCGCCCAGGCCUGAGCCCCAUGCCUCCCAGCAACCAGGGCCCGCGGGUGUGGCCCCCACCAGCCCAGGCCUGGACUCUCCUCAGUUCUGUGUCGUGUUCGGGUUUUUCCUCUGUGACUGGGCCGUCUUGGUGUCUCGUGGCACGCGUCACAGUGGUGCUAGUCUGUUUUUAACAAAAGAGGAUGAAAAGCC